UUUUUUCAGUGCAGUUUGGUCGUCGAGUCACAACAACCUCGUUGGAAACUGUUACUGUGAUGUUGACCUCGUCACUUACAACACUGUGAAAGGUUGUAUUUCCUCUCACUCCCACACAUCGGUAGAUUCCCCCUUGUUUUACAUUAAUAUCUCUGUUUUCUUCAUCAGUGAGUUGAACUUCAGGUGUGUUUAUGGUCUUUCUGGACCAUCUGUAU